CCAUGAAUUGGAUGAAGUUAGGGGAAGAAUUCUGGGCAGAAAUCCUUUGCCAUCAUUAAGUGAAGUGCUUGCUGAAAUAAGGAGGGAAGAAGGCAGAAGGAAAAUCAUGUUGAGUGAGAAGACACUACCUAUUUCAGAAAACUCAGCCCUGUUAAGCAAAAGUUUUUCUACUGCACCUCUAAACCGACAGCCAAGAAUGGUAGAAAUUGUGUGAGAACAUUGUAAAAAGCCCUGGCAUACUACAGAAACAUGUUGGGACUUACAUGGCAAGCUACCUAACUGGAAACCAAAAUCUUUCAAACAAAAAGGCAGUUGAGGUUCAAGGGCUUGUCAAUCUGGAUUGGAAGCACAAAACAAUGCUGAAAAAUCCUCGGGGACAACCUCUUUCAGUAAGGAACAAAUAAAACAACUGUAUAUGCUUUUUCAAUCCACACCUUUUCACAAUCUACUCCAUCUUGUUCAAUAGCACAGCUUGCAAUCUGCUUGUUUCAAUGCUUCAACCAUAUCUAUAUGUCCUUGGAUAAUAGAUUCAGGUGCUACUAAUCACAUGAUGGGAUCCUCCAGGUUGUUCCAUUCCUAUAUCUCUAGUGCUGGAAAUCAAAAAAUUAAAAUAGCUGAUGGUUCUUUAUCUGCUAUUGCUGGAAAAGGGUCUAUUGUCAUCUCUCAAACCUUGACUCUCCAAAAUGUUUUACAUGUUCCAAAUCUUUCUUCUAAUUUGAUUUCUAUUAGCAAAUUAACUCGUGAUUUAAAGUGUUUAGUUAAGUUUUCCUCAAAUUCUUGUGUACUUCAGGAUUUGGACUCGGGGAGGACGAUUGGCAGUGCUAAGUCCUUUAUUACUUUGAGGAAGUCACUUAUGUAGACAAGCCUAGCAAUCCAAUAUCAUAUCAAACUCUAGUUCUAGUAGCGAUGAUAUAAUUAUGUGGCAUCGUAGAUUAGGACACCAUAAUUUUUAUCAUUUGAAGCAUUUGUUUCCGAAGUUAUUUGACAAUACACUUUCUGAUUUUCAAUAUGAUAUUUGUCAGUUUGCAAAGCAUCAUCGUGCAUCUUUUCCUGUUCAUCCAUAUCAAUCAUCGAAACCUUUUGCCCUUAUUGGACCAUUCAAAACAACUCUUUCAAAAAAAAUGAUGGUUUAUCACUUCUAUUAAUGAUCACACUCGUUUAAGUUGGGUGUAUUUACUUGAUAAAUUAGAAGCUGGACAAGUUUUCAAAAAAAUUUUCAUGAUGAUUGAAACACAAUUCAUGAGAAAAUUCAAGUAUUCAGAAGGGAUAACGGGACAGAAUAUUUUAAUAAAAUUCUAGGUUAAUUGUUUCAACAAGAUGGUAUAUUUCAUCACAGUAGUUGCACUCAAACACCACAACAGAAUGGGGUAGCAGAAAGGAAGAAUAGACACCUUCUAGAAGUAGCUAGGUCACUCAUGUUCACUACCAAUGUACCUAAAUACUUAUGGGGGGAAAGCUAUUCCCGCUGCUAUGUAUUUGAUUAAUAGAAUGCCUUCAAUAGUGUUGAACUUCGAACCACCCUUAAUUGUUUUUAAAAAUUAUUUUCCCAUGUCUCACUUAUAUUCUGAGAGUGUUUGGUUGUGUAGCCUUUGCCCACAUGCAUCAUCAUAAUCGUGAUAAACUAGACCCUCGUGCUGUCAAAUGUGUAUUUCUAGGAUAUUCCCCUACCCAGAAGGCGUAUAAAUAUUUUGAACCCAUUCCAAAAACUUUUUUUUGUGUCUAUGGAUGCUACAUUCUUUGAAUCUAAAAUUUUUUUAGCACUCUCCUUUAGGGGGAGUAAGUUGGAAGACUCGUUGUUUGAUUUAGAAUCAGAGAAUGUAGAAGGAAAUUCAAAUUUUGAAUUUAGUACCAUAAUUGAUACACCUCAUGUAGUGUCAGAGCAGAAUCUUGAUACUCGAGUACGAGUUGAUGAUGAUAAAUAGUUUGGGCAAGUUUACAAAAAGAGACGACCCCAAAGUAAGCAAGACUCCACAACUCCACACGACCAAACAUCUGAACCUGAAGUUCAGACUUAUUUGAAUCUAAAUCCAGGUCACUUCAUCUCCUGCUAAGUGAAGUUGAUGACAUUGGCAGAGUUUUGAUAUGGUGUUAAACUACAUUCUGCAUGGAAUAACCACCGUCAGCGUGAUUGGCUUGUCAAGUAGUGCAGCAUCAUUUUUUGUGUUCCAAGAAUAUCUAAUUGUAGAAUAUAAUUGUUACUGUGACAAAUUGGUAAUAUCGAGACAUUAGAUGGACAGAAUAUGAUUUACUUUAUAUUACUCUUCUAAAUCUAAUCACUGGUAAGUUAACUGUGGACACAUAGCUUCUUCUAAAACCCCCGAUAAAGCUCAAUGGCUCGUAGUAGCCACAAAGUUGGGGCAUCAUGGCUUAUUGUUGUUUUGAUGGGAGUCAUGGGACCCAAAAUUUUUGGUACUUAGUAGUUUGGACAGAGAGUUCAAACUUGAAAAUGAGAAAUGAUAUAAUCCUGCUUCAAUCUUUUUUGCAAACCACAAAAUAACAUAAAUCAUGUUGAUGAUAUAAGACAAUAGAUACUUCAACAUAUUUUUUGUUUAUACUAAUAAUUUUUCUUUCAGAAUUGGCAUUGGAUUCAUGCUCCAGAAAUAUUGUACCAUAACAACAUUUUGCAUAAUGCGACUUCACAUGUUUAUCCUAUUGCGACUGAAUGUUUUUUGUAAUUUGUGUUGAUGGUUCGCAAAAUGAUGAUGGCAAGAUUGACUUCUCUAAGACUGAUUGGAUGGUGAGUACCGAAUGCUUACUAUUGGAGACCAAGAAAACAUCGGCUAUACAUGAGAGCUUCUCAAACUUGUAUUAAUUAACCAUAAAAGGGCAGCUCGGUGCACGAAACUCCCGCCAUGCGGGGUCCCGGGGAAGGAUCCAUUGUAUGCAGCCUUACCCUGCUUUUUGCUAGAGGUUGUUUCCAGGAUUCAAACUCGUGACCUUUUGGUCACAUGACAACAACUUUAUCGUUGCGCCAAGGCUCCCCUUCGUAUUAAUUAACCAUAACAACAACAUAUUAAUUAACCAUAACAACAACAAAAGCUAUUCUUAGCUAUGAAGUCAACAUGCCAACUCACUCUACAGAAUCAUGUGUAUAUGGCAUUACAUAUGCACACACAACCUUUUACAGUAUUGAAGCCAUACACAACCCUCCUCUAACUGACCUAUAUGUGUGCAAACAUUCACACAAGUACAUACACUAUCUAUUAACAGGAGUUAAGGAUAGUUUCAAUCUCAAGAAAGGAAAAAAAAAACAUGGAGUGUAGAGGAAUUGUUAGUAUAA